GAGUUUGAUCCUGGCUCAGGAUGAACGCUAGCGGCAGGCCUAACACAUGCAAGUCGAGGGGUAACAGAGGUAGCUUGCUACUUGCUGACGACCGGCGCACGGGUGCGUAACGCGUAUACAAUCUACCUUGUACUGGGGGAUAGCCUUUAGAAAUGAAGAUUAACACCCCAUAGUAUGUAAAGUUCGCAUGGACAUUAUAUUAAAGGUUACGGUACAAGAUGAGUAUGCGUCCUAUUAGCUAGAUGGUGUGGUAACGGCACACCAUGGCAACGAUAGGUAGGGGCCCUGAGAGGGGGAUCCCCCACACUGGUACUGAGACACGGACCAGACUCCUACGGGAGGCAGCAGUGAGGAAUAUUGGACAAUGGAGGCAACUCUGAUCCAGCCAUGCCGCGUGCAGGAAGACUGCCCUAUGGGUUGUAAACUGCUUUUAUACAGGAAGAAACCGCUCUACGUGUAGAGCUCUGACGGUACUGUAAGAAUAAGGAUCGGCUAACUCCGUGCCAGCAGCCGCGGUAAUACGGAGGAUCCAAGCGUUAUCCGGAAUCAUUGGGUUUAAAGGGUCCGUAGGUGGAUAAUUAAGUCAGAGGUGAAAGUUUGCGGCUCAACCGUAAAAUUGCCUUUGAUACUGGUUAUCUUGAAUCAUUGUGAAGUGGUUAGAAUAUGUAGUGUAGCGGUGAAAUGCAUAGAUAUUACAUAGAAUACCAAUUGCGAAGGCAGAUCACUAACAAUGUAUUGACACUGAUGGACGAAAGCGUAGGUAGCGAACGGGAUUAGAUACCCCGGUAGUCUACGCCGUAAACGAUGGAUACUAGCUGUUGGACUUCGGUUCAGUGGCUAAGCGAAAGUGAUAAGUAUCCCACCUGGGGAGUACGCUCGCAAGAAUGAAACUCAAAGGAAUUGACGG
rnacentral:rRNA from 1 species